CCUACGGGGGGCUGCAGUGGGGAAUUUUGGACAAUGGGGGCAACCCUGAUCCAGCCAUUCCGCGUGAGUGAAGAAGGCCUUCGGGUUGUAAAGCUCUUUCGCAAGGGAAGAAAACUUACUCAAUAACACUGGGUGAGGCUGACGGUACCUUGAUAAGAAGCACCGGCUAACUACGUGCCAGCAGCCGCGGUAAUACGUAGGGUGCGAGCGUUAAUCGGAAUUGCUGGGCGUAAAGUGUGCGUCGGCUGUGAGAGCCCCGGGCUCAACCGGGGAACUGCGUUUGAAACUACAAGGCUAGAGUAUGGCAGAGGGGGGUAGAAUUCCACGUGUAGCAGUGAAAUGCGUAGAGAUGUGGAGGAAUACCAAUGGCGAAGGCAGCCCCCUGGGUCAAUACUGACGCUCAUGCACGAAAGCGUGGGGAGCAAACAGGAUUAGAUACCCCUGUAGUC
rnacentral:rRNA from 1 species